rnacentral:rRNA from 1 species
UCCAGAGGUCUCAAGCGUUGUUCGGAUUCAUUGGGCGUCAAGGGUGCGUAGGCGGCGCGGUAAGUCGGGUGUGAAAUCUCGGAGCUUAACUCCGAAACUGCAUUCGAUACUGCCGUGCUUGAGGACUGGAGAGGAGACUGGAAUUUACGGUGUAGCGGUGAAAUGCGUAGAUAUCGUAAGGAAGACCAGUGGCGAAGGCGGGUCUCUGGACAGUUCCUGACGCUGAGGCACGAAGGUCAGGGGAGCAAACGGG